rnacentral:snRNA from 1 species
GUGCUCGCUUCGGCAGCACAUAUACUAAAAUUGGCCCCUGCACAAAGAUGACACGCAAAUUCGUAAAGCGUCCCAUAUUUAA